rnacentral:rRNA from 1 species
AUCCUGGCGGCGAGUGGCGAACGGGUGAGUAAUAUAUCGGAACGUGCCCAGUAGUGGGGGAUAGCCCGGCGAAAGCCGGAUUAAUACCGCAUACGACCUGAGGGUGAAAGCGGGGGAUCGCAAGACCUCGCGCUACUGGAGCGGCCGAUAUCAGAUUAGCUAGUUGGUGGGGUAAAGGCCUACCAAGGCAACGAUCUGUAGUUGGUCUGAGAGGACGACCAGCCACACUGGGACCGAGACACGGCCCAGACUCCUACGGGAGGCAGCAGUGGGGAAUUUUGGACAAUGGGCGCAAGCCUGAUCCAGCAAUGCCGCGUGCAGGAAGAAGGCCUUCGGGUUGUAAACUGCUUUUGUCAGGGAAGAAAUCUUCUGGGCUAAUACCCCGGGAGGAUGACGGUACCUGAAGAAUAAGCACCGGCUAACUACGUGCCAGCAGCCGCGGUAAUACGUAGGGUGCGAGCGUUAAUCGGAAUUACUGGGCGUAAAGCGUGCGCAGGCGGCUUUGCAAGACAGAGGUGAAAUCCCCGGGCUCAACCUGGGAACUGCCUUUGUGACUGCAAGGCUAGAGUACGGCAGAGGGGGAUGGAAUUCCGCGUGUAGCAGUGAAAUGCGUAGAUAUGCGGAGGAACACCGAUGGCGAAGGCAAUCCCCCGGGCCUGUACUGACGCUCAUGCACGAAAGCGUGGGGAGCAAACAGG